GACGAACGCUGGCGGCGUGCUUAACACAUGCAAGUCGAACGGACAGGCCCUGCUCUUGCGGGGUGCUCGAGUGGCGAACGGGUGAGUAACACGUGAGUAAACUGCCCUUGUCUUUGGGAUAACUUCAGGAAACUGGGGCUAAUACAGGAUAGGAGCUCCUGCUGCAUGGUGGGGGUUGGAAAGUUUCGGCGGUUGGGGAUGGACUCGCGGCUUAUCAGCUUGUUGGUGGGGUAGUGGAUUACCAAGGCUUUGACGGGUAGCCGGCCUGGGAGGUUGACCGGGCACAAUGGUACUGAGGUACGGCCCAGACUCCUACGUGAGGCAGCAGUGGGGAAUAUUGCACAAUGGGCGGAAGCCUGAGGCAGCAACGCCGCGUGCGGGAUGACGGCCUUCGAGGUGUAAACCGCUUUCUCCUGUAACGAAGCGUGAGUGACGGUAAUGGGUAAAGAAGCACCGGCUAACUACGUG
rnacentral:rRNA from 1 species